UACAGAGGUCUCGAGCGUUAGGCGGAAUCACUGGGCUUAAAGCGUGCGCAGGCGGUUCGCUAAGACCGAUGUGAAAUCCCCGGGCUUAACCUGGGAACUGCAUUGGUGACUGGCGGGCUAGAGUAUGGCAGAGGGGGGUAGAAUUCCACGUGUAGCAGUGAAAUGCGUAGAGAUGUGGAGGAAUACCGAUGGCGAAGGCAGCCCCCUGGGCCAAUACUGACGCUCAUGCACGAAAGCGUGGGGAGCAAACAGG
rnacentral:rRNA from 1 species